GCCAGCAGCCGCGGUAACACCGGCGGCCCGAGUGGUGAUCGUGAUUAUUGGGUCUAAAGGGUCCGUAGCCGGUUUGGUCAGUCCUCCGGGAAAUCUGAUAGCUCAACUAUUAGGCUUUCGGGGGAUACUGCCAGACUUGGAACCGGGAGAGGUAAGAGGUACUACAGGGGUAGGAGCGAAAUCUUGUAAUCCCUGUGGGACCACCUGUGGCGAAGGCGUCUUACCAGAACGGGUUCGACGGUGAGGGACGAAAGCUGGGGGCACGAACCGGAUUAGAUACCCGGGUAGUCCCAGCCGUAAACGAUGCUCGCUAGGUGUCAGGCAUGGCGCGACCGUGUCUGGUGCCGCAGGGAAGCCGUGAAGCGAGCCACCUGGGAAGUACGGCCGCAAGGCUGAAACUUAAAGGAAUUGGCGGGGGAGCACAACAACGGGUGGAGCCCUGCGGUUUAAUUGGACUCAACGCCGGACAACUCACCGGGGGCGACAGCAAUAUGUAGGCCAAGCUGAAGACUUUGCCUGAAUCGCUGAGAAGUGGUGCAUGG
rnacentral:rRNA from 1 species